rnacentral:rRNA from 1 species
UACGGAGGGGGCAAGCGUUAUUCGGAAUUAUUGGGCGUAAAGGGCGCGUAGGCGGCUAGAUGUGUCAAAGGUGAAAUCCCUCGGCUCAACUGAGGAACUGCCUUUGAAACUGUCUGGCUUGAGGCCGGGAGAGGGUAGCGGAAUUCCCAGUGUAGCGGUGAAAUGCGUAGAUAUUGGGAGGAACACCAGUGGCGAAGGCGGCUACCUGGACCGGUUCUGACGCUGAGGCGCGAAAGCCGGGGGAGCAAACAGG